rnacentral:rRNA from 1 species
AGAGUUUGAUCCUGGCUCAGGAUGAACGCUAGCGGCAGGCCUAACACAUGCAAGUCGAGGGAUAAGCCUUCGGGCUAAGACCGGCGCACGGGUGCGUAACGCGUAUACAAUCUGCCUUUUAUCCGGGGGAUAGCCCGAAGAAAUUUGGAUUAAUACCCCAUAGUAUAGUAGUGUGGCAUCACACAACUAUUAAAGCCUUGGUGGUGAAAGAUGAGUAUGCGUUCUAUUAGCUAGUUGGAGAGGUAACGGCUCCCCAAGGCGAUGAUAGAUAGGGGUUCUGAGAGGGAUGUCCCCCACACUGGUACUGAGAUACGGACCAGACUCCUACGGGAGGCAGCAGUGAGGAAUAUUGGACAAUGGUCGGAAGACUGAUCCAGCCAUGCCGCGUGCAGGAUGACGGCCUUAUGGGUUGUAAACUGCUUUUGUAAGGGAAGAAUAAGGACUACGUGUAGUUUGAUGACGGUACCUUAUGAAUAAGCAUCGGCUAACUCCGUGCCAGCAGCCGCGGUAAUACGGAGGAUGCGAGCGUUAUCCGGAAUCAUUGGGUUUAAAGGGUCUGUAGGCGGGCUGGUAAGUCAGAGGUGAAAGCGCUUAGCUCAACUAAGCAACUGCCUUUGAAACUGUUGGUCUUGAAUGGUUGUGAAGUAGUUGGAAUGUGUAGUGUAGCGGUGAAAUGCUUAGAUAUUACACAGAACACCGAUAGCGAAGGCAUAUUACUAACAAUUAAUUGACGCUGAUGGACGAAAGCGUGGGGAGCGAACAGGAUUAGAUACCCUGGUAGUCCACGCU